rnacentral:rRNA from 1 species
CAAACCAAAGCUGGCGACCGGCGCACGGGUGAGUAACACGUAUCCAACCUGCUCAUACUCGGGGAUAGCCUUUCGAAAGAAAGAUUAAUAUCCGAUAGCAUAUAUUUCCCGCAUGGGUUUUAUAUUAAAGAAAUUCGGUAUGAGAUGGGGAUGCGUUCCAUUAGUUUGUUGGGGGGGUAACGGCCCACCAAGACUACGAUGGAUAGGGGUUCUGAGAGGAAGGUCCCCCACAUUGGAACUGAGACACGGUCCAA